AGUCCUGUACCAAGGCAAAACAACAUCGUGUCACCCGAAUAAGUUUAACUUCAAAGAUGAGUGGGACAUCCACCACAACGAGACCCACGGGUCCAACGCCACAAGGAUGGACCUCAAUGCCGACAAAAUCAUUAUCCCUUACGUGGCAGCUCAGCGAGAAGCUCUCGGACUCCCAGAACAGCCAGCCCUGCCAUCUUUGACGUGUACAAAGCUCACCGCUACCCCGCGCUGCUACAGAAGGGAAAGGAACCAGAGUUAUCACGCAUACAUUGCGUGGUAUUUGCAGUGAGAAACUCACUACUGUCCUCAGUGGAACCGCCAGAAAAGGGAACACCUUGAAUCAAUCCUCUCAAUCCGCCUCACAACCUCUUCUAGCCCAGUUAAGUGCACAUCCUGAGCAUUUAUGCUCCCACACUCGGCUCUGGCAGACAGAGAAAAAAAUUGGACGACAACAUUAAAGAAUGUACAGGACUACCCCUUGCCAGCACCCAGGCACUGGCUCGCGACAGGGAGGCAGUGUGCUCAGCAGCAUAGCGCCCCCACGAUCAACCCGAGUCAAGGUACCGGUAACUCGGCUUUGCAGCUAAGACUAAGGACGAGUUUAACGAGGAUCUCGAGACGACAAUCAGAGAGAUCCCAGCCACAGAAGAACUUAACCUUCCCGGGGAUUUCAACAUCCGAGUGGGAGAUGACCAAGGCAAAUAUCAGAACAUUUGUCAAAAUCACCAUGGCAAAGAUCAUGAGUUUUCCAUUAAACGAUUGAUACGGA